rnacentral:rRNA from 1 species
GAAUAUGGGGGGACCAUCCUCCAAGGCUAAAUACUCCUGACUGACCGAUAGUGAACCAGUACCGUGAGGGAAAGGCGAAAAGAACCCCGGCGAGGGGAGUGAAAAAGAACCUGAAACCGUGUACGUACAAGCAGUGGGAGCCCCACCACCAAAGCAUUCUCUGGUGUUGAAGGCCCUGCAAAGCAGCAUCGCGGUGGCGGAGCGUCGUUUGCGACGCCCAACACACAAAACAAGCGGUGAGUGCUUUGGGGUGGGGUGACUGCGUACCUUUUGUAUAAUGGGUCAGCGACUUAUAUUCUGUAGCAAGGUUAACCGMAUAGGGGAGCCGGAGGGAAACCGAGUCUUAAUUGGGCGUUAAGUUGCAGGGUAUAGACCCGAAACCCGGUGAUCUAGCCAUGGGCAGGUUGAAGGUUGGGUAACACUAACUGGAGGACCGAACCGACUAAUGUUGAAAAAUUAGCGGAUGACCUGUGGCUGGGGGUGAAAGGCCAAUCAAAC